AACCUCCGCAAUGUGAGAAAUCGCGACGGGGGAAUCCCAAGUGCCAUUCUUAACGGGAUGGCUUUUCAUUAGUGUAAAGAGCUUUUGGAAUAAGAGCUGGGCAAGACCGGUGCCAGCCGCCGCGGUAACACCGGCAGCUCUAGUGGUAACAAUUUUUAUUGGGCCUAAAGCGUCCGUAGCCGGUUUAAUAAGUCUCUGGUGAAAUCCUGCAGCUUAACUGUGGGAAUUGCUGGAGAUACUAUUAGACUUGAGACCGGGAGAGGUUAGAGGUACUCCCAGGGUAGAGGUGAAAUUCUGUAAUCCUGGGAGGACCGCCUGUUGCGAAGGCGUCUAACUGGAACGGUUCUGACGGUGAGGGACGAAAGUUAGGGGCGCGAACCGGAUUAGAUACCCGGGUAGUCCUAACCGUAAACGAUGCGGACUUGGUGUUGGGAUGGCUUUGAGCUGCUCCGGUGCCGAAGGGAAGCUGUUAAGUCCGCCGCCUGGGAAGUACGGUCGCAAGACUGAAACUUAAAGGAAUU
rnacentral:rRNA from 1 species